rnacentral:rRNA from 1 species
GAAUGGACUUAUAUUUAUCCGCCUAGAGAGAAGCNNNNGGCUGAUUAGCUUGUUGGUAAGGUAAGAGCUUACCAAGGCGNNGAUCAGUAUCUGGUUUGAGAGGACGAUCAGACACACUGGAACUGAGACACGGUCCAGACUCCUACGGGAGGCAGCAGUGGGGAAUUUUCCGCAAUGGGCGAAAGCNUGACGGAGCAAUACCGCGUGAGGGAAGACUGNCUAUGGGUNGUAAACCUCUUUUUUCAGGGAGGAAUCAAUGACGUGUACCUGAAGAAUAA